rnacentral:rRNA from 1 species
GACGAACCGUGCGAACGUUUAUUCGGAAUCACUGGGCUUAAAAGCGCGUGUAGGCGGCCCGGCGCGUCACUGGCUGAAAUCCCCCGGCUCAACCGGGGAAGGGGCCAUGAUACGGCCGGGCUGGAGGGGGGUAGGGGGGGACGGGAACGUUCCGGUGGAGCGGUGAAAUGCGUUGAGAUCGGAAGGACGCCCGCGGCGAAAGCGCGUCCCUGGACCCCGCCUGACGCCUGACGACGCGAAAGCCAGGGGAGCGAACGGG